CAGGAGGCCGGCAUAAUCACGAAUUGCAGCUGUCUGAAGGGCAGUCACAUAAAAGAGGAGAAGCUUCACCUUUGCUUCACAAGGCACAUCUUGAACCAGGGAUGGAAAUUACAGAGAGGCCAAAACCAGCUCGGUGUGAGCAGGACUGGUAACAGACUGGCCAAGCAACAGAAGGGGCUGCCCUGUGAAGAAGCAAGCUCUCUGUCAAUGGGAGGUGCAAGCUGAGCCUGCACUACCUUUUGUCACGGUUGCUAUGGAAAAGAUUAAGAGCCCGGAUAGCCCUUCCUCCUCUGGGGGCCUGGGCAUCAGCAAGUCGGAUGGCAGUGGAAGGUGGAGAAAUGGAAUCCUGCUGGGGGCUCAGGAGGCCUGCCCCCUGAUGCUGCCGUGCACUGCAGAUGUCCUUGAUGAAGAGAAUGAAUGGAAGUUUAAAUGAUGAAACUCUGGGGAUCAGCGUAAAGUAAACCAACAUACUGCAUGUAAGUAUCAAGUAAAUGAGCAGAGACAGCCCCUGGUUUACAAACACCUGACUUAAGCAUCGUCCAUCCUACAGGUAAAUUCCUCAUUCUUACUGCUGUGAGAACAAUUGUUAGGAGCCAAAAACUUCAGAGCUUUCAAAGAACUGUAAUGAGAUAGCACAAUGCAGGCAAAAAGCCAGUGUUAACGGAGCAAGAAACUUCCCAGUUCUGACAUUCACAGCAUGACCUAGAGCAUGCGGAUUCCCCUCUCUGAGUCACUGGUUUCUCACCUGCAAAAGAAAGCGGGGUGCGUGUAUUUAUGGGAGUAGGGUGGGUUUUGGCUAAGCACAGGAGUCAUCUGGGUGGCUUCAUACACAGAUAAAGGGCUCAUCCCA
rnacentral:lncRNA from 10 species